GAAAACAUUGAGGAGUAUGGUGUUUGUUCCAGAUUCACUUCAGCACCCUCUGGAUUUACAGCUCUGCCCGGUUCUGUCAUCAUUGCAAGCAAGAUCCUAUUGUAUGAUAGCAACCAGUAACAGUCUCCAGACCAGAAUUUGAACACACACAUCCUUAAGGGAUUUGAGAGCGGAGAACAAAGCAGGAACAGCCCGUGGAAUUUGAUGCUUGUUGACUGGAGAAUGUAAUUGAUGAUGCAGGGGUCCUCACUCUCGCUGGGUUGGUAUGAAGGACUAGCAGCAUCCUUGGUACAUGUUGGCACUCAAAAUAUGUCAAUUCCUUUGCUCCCUUCCCUGUAAGUGGGACA